ACGAAUGAAACAAGAAGUCAAGGAAAAUGAUUGGUGGUAAACUCGAUGUAACCAACUACAUCUCGAAGACAUAAAGCACACAACGAUCGCUAGGACCAACGACAAACAAGUCUGAAAGAAAGGUUAGCAACAUGGUGCCCUUCGUCUCACCAUCAUUAGGAGCAAAGAUCUUCCAGAGCUCAUCAACGCCGACAACGUGAAUAUCUAUCAUGGGUAAUCCUACCUAACUAUGUCAACAACCACAAUCGUAAAGCUAAAGUCAAACGACAAGAGGUUAGCAUCUUGAGGUACAUUCCAUCAUCAUUCCCUCCCUCCAAUAAGUGUUCCAAAAAAUAAAGGGUC